GACGAACGCUGGCGGCGUGCCUAAUACAUGCAAGUCGAACGAACCGCGACUAGGUGCUUGCACUUGGUCAAGGUGAGUGGCGAACGGGUGAGUAACACGUGGGUAACCUACCUCAUAGUGGGGGAUAACAGUCGGAAACGACUGCUAAUACCGCAUAGGACAUAAGAUCACAUGAUCCAGUGAGGAAAGGUGGCGCAAGCUAUCGCUAAGAGAUGGACCCGCGGUGCAUUAGAUAGUUGGUAGGGUAAAGGCCUACCAAGGCGAUGAUGCAUAGCCGACCUGAGAGGGUGAAUGGCCACAUUGGGACUGAGAAACGGCCCAAACUCCUACGGGAGGCAGCAGUAGGGAAUCUUCCGCAAUGGACGCAAGUCUGACGGAGCAACGCCGCGUGAGUGCAGAAGGUCUUCGGAUCGUAAAGCGCUGUUGUUAGAGAAGAACAGCGCAUAGAGUAACUGUUAUGCGUGUGACGGUAUCUAACCAGAAAGCCACGGCUAACUACGUG
rnacentral:rRNA from 1 species